GGAUUGCCUAGUAACGGCGAGUGAAGCGGCAACAGCUCAAAUUUGAAAGCUAGCCUUCGGGUUCGCAUUGUAAUUUGUAGAGGAUGAUUUGGGGAAGCCGCCUGUCUAAGUUCCUUGGAACAGGACGUCAUAGAGGGUGAGAAUCCCGUAUGUGACAGGAAAUGGCACCCUAUGUAAAUCUCCUUCGACGAGUCGAGUUGUUUGGGAAUGCAGCUCUAAAUGGGAGGUAAAUUUCUUCUAAAGCUAAAUAUUGGCGAGAGACCGAUAGCGCACAAGUAGAGUGAUCGAAAGAUGAAAAGCACUUUGGAAAGAGAGUUAAAAAGCACGUGAAAUUGUUGAAAGGGAAGCGCUUGCAAUCAGACUUGUUUAAACUGUUCGGCCGGUCUUCUGACCGGUUUACUCAGUUUGGACAGGCCAGCAUCAGUUUCGGCGGCCGGAUAAAGGCUCUGGGAAUGUGGCCUCCACUUCGGUGGAGGUGUUAUAGCCCAGGGUGUAAUACGGCCAGCCGGGACUGAGGUCCGCGCUUCGGCUAGGAUGCUGGCGUAAUGGUUGUAAGCGACCCGUCUUGAAACACGGACCAAAC
rnacentral:rRNA from 1 species